AUUUGUGCACCAAUUUAAUUUCUCCAUUAAAUAAAUAUAAUCAUAAUUACUGUUAAGUCCCUCUUUAGCAUUGUUUUACAAUAAUGCGUCCGAUAAUAAUUUAAAAUGUAACUCGCCAUUACCAAGGAAUCGUCUGCACCUUGAUCUGUCUUUUAAAUACCGAAUUACGUUGGUAAAACUUCAAGUGUUACCUGACGACGACGGCAUACAAGAGUUUUCAAUGGUUGUUUUACCUUGGUGGUUGUCAUUUAUAAGGUAAGUUCCCCUAAAUUAAAAUUACCGCCAUGUUGUUUAAGUUUUAACUCAUAUAGUUGUAGUACUCGGCAAAAUUAAAUGGGCAUUUGUAUAAAGGGGUAUCUAAUCCCUGUCUAUCACUAAUGUUUGAAAGAAAAACCACACAGAUAGAGCUACGAAUUGGUAUAUUUCACCACUCUUGUAAUAGUACUGAUGUGUAAAUUUUGCUGAUCCCGCUGCUUACUAAAGUAUGACC
rnacentral:rRNA from 1 species